UGGCUUAAAGAAAAGCCUCCCCUCAAAUAAUGAAGUAGCAAAUGUGUGGAGAGCCAUUGGAUUUUGCAGGCUUAGCAUUUUACAAAAGCCAUUGGAGAAUCCCAAUGCUCCCCCCCCACCCACACACACACACACAAAAAAAAAAACCACCAUUACAUAGUCGCAUAAGAGUACUUCGCUCUUUUCACUCCAUCUCCACCCC
rnacentral:lncRNA from 1 species